UACGUAGGGCGCAAGCGUUAUCCGGAAUUAUGGGGCGUAAAGAGCUCGUAGGCGGUCUGUCGCGUCUGCUGUGAAAACUCGGGGCUUAACCCCGGGCCUGCAGUGGGUACGGGCAGACUAGAGUGCGGUAGGGGAGACUGGAAUUCCUGGUGUAGCGGUGAAAUGCGCAGAUAUCAGGAGGAACACCGGUGGCGAAGGCGGGUCUCUGGGCCGUAACUGACGCUGAGGAGCGAAAGCAUGGGGAGCGAACAGG
rnacentral:rRNA from 1 species